UACAGAGGGGGCAAGCGUUAUUCGGAAUUAUUGGGCGUAAAGGGCGCGUAGGCGGCUUUGCAAGUGGCGGGUGAAAUCCCUCGGCUUAACCGAGGAACUGCCUGCCAGACUGUGAGGCUUGAGACCGGGAGAGGUGAGUGGAAUUCCCAGUGUAGCGGUGAAAUGCGUAGAUAUUGGGAGGAACACCAGUGGCGAAGGCGGCUCACUGGACCGGAACUGACGCUGAGGCGCGAAAGCGUGGGGAGCAAAC
rnacentral:rRNA from 1 species